GACGGGCUUGUGCCGGAGCCCGGGCUUGUUAAUGAUCAGCUCCAGCUGCCUGCGGUUGAAGUUGGACACCCCGAUGGACCUGCUUCGAUUCUUCAAUCGAUAACCAGAGUGAAACGAUUUCUGCUAACCUUCAAAGCUACUGGAAAAUGAAUAAGGCAAAGAUCCACAUAGCUCAGCUGAAGUUUCUUCAGGGACCUUUCCAGGAUGGUUUGGACAAAUUCUGGACGAAGACAGGUGCUCCACAGCUGCAACAAUCAAAAGUGGGAUUAUUUCUUCACGACUCCCUAGGAGAGAUUUAAUUAAAAUAGCAAAUAACCAUCAACAACCAUAACCCGCUGACAGUCGAUGGCCAGUGACAAACCACCCCGUGAAGCUCGUGAGUUCUUCAUCGAUUUUGUGAGAUUACUAUUUCUCCUUCAUCGGAAGGAAAAAUAAAUAUUUAUGGACCAGGUAAUAGGUUGAGAUACGACGGCUAAAGCUCAGAGAGGUUAAAAAACUUUUUUCAGUUAAGAAAUUUCACAAGGUCAAAUAUAGAGACAAUUAAAGAGCUGAAACUGGUUAUUAGUUUCCAAAAACUAAAUGGCAUUACCUCAUACCAUAGCUAAGAAAAGAUGAAGUCACUGUGUCAAAACUUGAGCAUGUCCGAGUUGGAAAAGCCAAAUCUAUUCCUGAAUUUUAAAAAAUAUGAUAAUGACGGCUAUCUAAUAACAGCAUUUAAAAUAUAUUAAUUUUUUGGCAUUUAAAAUAUAUUAAAUGCUUUUUAAAAAGUUCUAUAUGUACUUUUCAUGUAACGCUCCUGAAAAUCCUAUGAUGUAAAUACUAUCUGCAUUUCACAGCCUGAGGUUUGGUGGGCCUAAGUCCAAGGUCACACACGUAGCAGGAUUCAGACGUGGGAGGUCUGACUACAGGAGCCACGUCCCGGCCGGCAGGCCCCCAACCAGCCCCCUGGCUUGAGGUCUGACAGCCAACGAGCUUGGGCCGAGCGAGGACAGGUGCCUCCGAGAGUGGGAGCCACAGACGCACACAGAGCACCUUCGUAGUGAAGAAGAGGUCGUCCCUUGUCACCGUGCCGUCGGCCAUCUUCUUCUGGAGGGCCCGGCCAACCUCCUCUUCAUUCUGGUAUAUGUAGGCCGAGUCGAUGUGGCGGUAGCCAGCGCCGAUGGCUCUCUCGGUGGCCUCUUCUACCUUGCUAUUAGCCACCUGGGACAACGUGAAAAGGCGAAGACCUGCUUGAUUCAGGAAGGGCCAUCGAGGGAACCUGUGGCUUGUCUAAGGGCGAGGCAGCUGGAGGUGACAACACUAGAGGUCACUUCUAGCCGGCGGUGAAAGCGUCACGAGUGACUCUGAAGGAAAGAAGCCCUGAUCGGUUGCGGUCGCCAGCUCCUGUGGGGCAGACGCGCGCCCCUUGGCACCAGCGACCCCCCAAUGUGGGGGAAAGAGGCAACCGAAGCUCGUGAGCAGACGGCUGGGGCUCGCCCUCCGCCUCCCGGUCUGCGGACGUAGGCCGUCUGUAGGCUUUUUAAGUCUCCAGAAUUGUUUCCCACCCUCACCCCCUCUACCUCAUUCCGUAAUUAAAAGGUCUCUCGGGUGUCUUGUCACGUUUUUCAACUCCUGGUGGAGAUUCGCUGACCGUCCACAGGUCGAGGGGCCAAAUCAAAGGAAAAGCAACACUCCCCACCACUGUCCUCCCCAGUCACACCGCGUGGCGCUCGCGUGAGGGGACCAACCCCAUGGCCUCCCUGAAACAACCGGGAACUUCACCGAGAGCCUCUGAACCCGUGCUGCUGGGAGGUCGCGUGCGAGGACCAGGCCACACGCGACGUCCAGCGCCCCACACCCACGGAGACUUUCCCAGUGCACGGUCCUAGCCGCCCGGCCUCCGAGAGACCGUCUCCAUCCCCACCCCCGGGCCACCAAAACUCUCUCGGGCAUUAAUCACGUCUCUCACUCUCUCUCCAGGUCCUUUUGCCACAGAGAUUUCCCUGCGUGUCCUGUGAGUGUGGCGGACAGGGACGACUGGACGUUGGAAGUCACAGGAAAACUUCGCCACGGGCGAGCUUGCUGCGGCGAUCCUGACCACGGGGUUUUAUUCCUUCCACUCUAUGUGAAGUGGCUCCGACCGGACAGCAGGGUAGAGUGACAGACACGGACCUGCUCGCCCCUGAACCAAAAAAAGUGGUGACCCCCUUCCCUGUCCCUUGAUCUGGCCACUCCAGGUGUGGUGCUCGGAGCAGCAGCAGGACCCUUGGGAGCUCGCUGGGACGUGGGCAUUGGCACCUUCUCCCGGACUUACAAGGUCAGAACCUUUGCAGGCGGGGUCCCCAAAUCUGCAUUUCUAACAAGAUCCCUGGGUGUUUACACCUAUUCAGAUUGAAAAGUAUUGACUUACUGCACAAAAAUCACCUAACCCGGGGAGAAAUCCUACAAAUCGUAACACAUCUUACAAAUGAGGAAAGGGAGGCCCAUUGGAUCUUUCAGAUUCGCACGGUGACUGGCUCCGAUCGGGACCCCGCCUGUCCCCUGAGUCCCCAAGGCCGCUGUGAUCACCUUAGUUGCAGCGGAGGUGCCAAACCCCAGUAUGGGCAUGAAGUGUCCGUCGUUCAGCUUCAUGGUAAGGUGUGUUCCUAGACUCAUCUUCGUUCACCCUUCUGGCUAAACAAACCAAUUUUCUUUACUGAGAGAAAUCUGCACAGGGAAGAAAACAGUACAGCUGCUAUUUUUAGCAGCUUGAAUGAAAUAUGAGUCAAAUACCAUGAAAUCACCGCUUUUAAAUUAUGCGAGUCAAUGGCUUUUCGUAUACUCAUAGAAUCAUUUCCACUAGACUACCGUAGAGCAUUCUCAUCAUCCCUAAAGAAACCUCAUACUCAUUAGAAACAACGCCCCAUUCCCCGCUCCCUCCAGCCGCUGGCUUUGCAGACAGGCGAUCUACCAGAUGCGGAGUUUAAAACGCUAGUUAUAAGGAUGCUCGACACACUUAGAAAAGAACGGAUGAACUCUGUGAGAACUUUAACAAAGAGACAGAAAACAUAAAGUGGAGAUGGAAAAUUUAAAAGGGAACCAGUCAGAAAUGAAGACUACAAAUGAAGAGUCCAUGACAGGGAAUCAAUAGACCGGAUGAAGCAGAGGAUCGAAUCAGUGAUUUGGAAGACAAGGUAGAAGAAAACACCCAGUCAACAGCAACAAGAAAAAAGUAUCCAAAAAAAAAAAAGAAAACGAGGA